GCAUGUGAGGGUGAUCUGGCUGUACCAUCUUAACCCAUUGAUCGCCAGGGUUGAUUCAGCUAAUCUGACUGGUUAUGUGAGUGUCCCCCUCCUCCCCCCGCCACUCCAUGGCAAUCCCUUCUGAAGCUGUGCACUUGAAGAGGACGACUUUCCCUGGUAGGAGGACCAUUCUUGUGUCAAGGGUGGUCCAGUAGCUGUCUUCCUCUGCUAGAACUCCAAACACACUCUCAGUCUCCAACCCGUUCCCCAUCCCACACACCUAUCUAUGAAAAUGGGGUCAUAUCAUCUUUGUCCCUGAGUGAGUUAAAACUCCCUACUACAG
rnacentral:snRNA from 1 species